UACGUAGGGUGCGAGCGUUGUCCGGAUUUAUUGGGCGUAAAGAGCUCGUAGGCGGUUUGUCGCGUCGGCCGUGAAAUCUCCACGCUUAACGUGGAGCGUGCGGUCGAUACGGGCAGACUUGAGUUCGGUAGGGGAGACUGGAAUUCCUGGUGUAGCGGUGAAAUGCGCAGAUAUCAGGAGGAACACCGGUGGCGAAGGCGGGUCUCUGGGCCGUUACUGACGCUGAGGAGCGAAAGCGUGGGGAGCAAACAGG
rnacentral:rRNA from 1 species